rnacentral:rRNA from 1 species
UUGUCGCCUGUUUUUCAAAAACAUUUCUUUUAGAACAGGAAUUAAAGGUAGGGCCUGCCCCCUGCUCAGUAAAGGGCCGCAGUAUUCUGACUGUGCAAAGGUAGCAUAAUCAUUUGUUUCUUAAUUAGAAGCUGGAAUGAAAGGUUUAAUAAAGGAUAUUUUUAUAGAGAAAUAUAAUUGAAGUUAAUUUUAAUAUAAAAAAGUAUUAAUAUUUUUAUGGGACGAUAAGACCCUAUUAAGCUUAGAUAUUAACUUAAUAACUUUAAAAGAUAAGUUAGGGAGAAAAUAUUGUACUGGGGCGGUAGAAUUAACAUAAAAGAAAGGAGAAAAUUAGGAGCCAAUAAUAUUGCUAAAUAGAAAAAGUUACUAUAGGGAUAACAGCAUAAUUUCUUUUAAGAGAUCUUAUCAAUAAAGAAAGUUUAUGACCUCGAUGUUGAAUUAAUUUUACCUUAGGAUGAAGAUGUUUUAAAGGCUAGUCUGUUCGACUAAUAAAAAGUUACACGACCGGAGUUCAA